rnacentral:rRNA from 1 species
GGCGGCGACUGCAUACAAAGCCCAGUUCCUGGGGCUAACUCUUUCCCCUAUGGACCGCAUGGUUUGGAAGGCUUGCCCCCCUCCCCUCCCAAGGUCAAGUUCUUUGCUUGGUUGGCUAUCCAAGAUCGGAUUUGGACCGCCGAUCGCUUGGAGAGACGGGUUUGGACAAAUUGUGGGCUUUGCCCUCUAUGCUUAAGAGAGCAAGAAUCGGGUGCACAUCUCUUCUUCAAGUGCCGCUACACGCUCCAUCUAUGGAGGAUUAUCAUUGAAAAACUUGGCCUUGCUCACAUGGACACCAUCCUUUGGCACCUUGAUGAUUCCGUCCACGAGUGGUGGGACAAGAGAACUGGCAAUCACAUCCCCAAACGGAGUGCUAUGACCUCCCUCACUAUGCUCAUCUCCUGGACCAUUUGGAACGAGCGUAAUGCAAGAGUGUUCCGCCACAAGAGCGCGCCGCCAUCUAUUCUACUUAGCAACAUCGUCGAGGAGGCAAAGCUCUGGAUCACUGCCGGUGCUAAAAGACUAGGGAUCAUUUUUUUCCGUGAGUAA